UACGUAGGGUGCAAGCGUUAAUCGGAAUUACUGGGCGUAAAGCGUGCGCAGGCGGUUAUGUAAGACAGAUGUGAAAUGCCCGGGCUUAACCUGGGAACUGCAUUUGUGACUGCAUGGCUAGAGUUUGGCAGAGGGGGGUAGAAUUCCACGUGUAGCAGUGAAAUGCGUAGAUAUGUGGAGGAACACCGAUGGCGAAGGCAGCCCCCUGGGUCAAGAC
rnacentral:rRNA from 1 species